rnacentral:rRNA from 1 species
UCCGUAGGCGGGUAAUUAAGUCAGAGGUGAAAUCCCACAGCUCAACUGUGGAACUGCCUUAGAUACUGGUUAUCUUGAGUUUUAGUGAAGUAGAUAGAAUGUGUAGUGUAGCGGUAAAAUGCAUAGAUAUUACACAGAAUACCGAUUGCGAAGGCAGUCUACUAACUAACAACUGACGCUAAUGGACGAAAGCGUGGGGAGCGAACAGGAUUAGAUACCCUGGUAGUCC